rnacentral:lncRNA from 1 species
GAAAAUGCCUUCGGGAAUAGUUUGGGUUGAUUUUCCUCGUUUUCCCUAAUGCUAUACACAUUUUCAUAUUCAUUCAAUCGAUGUCACACACAUUUUAUUGGUGUGUGUGUGUGUGUGUUUAUUUUUUUCUGUUUUGUUUCAAGCAAGGUAACAAAACAAAUAAAUAUACAAUUCAAAUAGGGGGAUUUAAAAAAAUAGUCUUUUUCUAUACCAUUUUUAAAAAAAUACCUCUUUCAA